CCAUGCAAGUCGAGCGGUAACAGAUCUAGCUUGCUAGUAUGCUUCACCAGCGGCGGACGGGUGGAGUAAUGCAUAGGAAACUGCUCAGAUAGUGGGGGAUAGCCCGGGGGAAACCCGGAUUAAUACCGCAUACGUCCUUCGGGAGAAAGCAGGGGAUCUUCGGACCUUGACGCUAUUGGAUGUGCCUAUGUCGGAUUACCUAGUUGGUGGGGUAAGAGCCUACCAAGGCGACUAUCCGUAGCUGGUCUGAGAGGAUGAUCAGCCACAUCGGGACUGAGACACGGCCCGAACUCCUACGGGAGGCAGCAGUGGGGAAUAUUGGACAAUGGGGGAAACCCUGAUCCAGCCAUGCCGCGUGUGUGAAGAAGGCUUUCGGGUUGUAAAGCACUUUCAGUGAGGAGGAAAACCUUACGACUAAUACUCCUGAGGCUUGACGUUACUCACAGAAGAAGCACCGGCUAACUCCGUGCCAGCAGCCGCGGUAAUACGGAGGGUGCCAGCGUUA
rnacentral:rRNA from 1 species